CGGGGCUUAAAGUCUUGUAAUUGGAAUGAUGGGAAUUUAAACCUCUUCCAGAGUAUCAAUUGGAGGGCAAGUCUGGUGCCAGCAGCCGCGGUAAUUCCAGCUCCAAUAGCGUAUAUUAAAAUUGUUGCAGUUAAAAAGCUCGUAGUUGAAUUUCUGCUGCAUUGCUUGUGUCCCUCUGGGGUCUGUGCAUGUGGCUUUUUUCGGACGGAGUUUCUUUGUCUGAAUGUUUACUUUGAGAAAAUUAGAGUGCUCAAAGCAGGCUUUCGCCUUGAAUAGUUUAGCGUGGAAUAAUAAAGUAGGACUUUGGUUCUAUUUUGUUGGUUUUAGGUACCAAAGUAAUGGUUAAUAGGAACAGUUGGGGGCAUUCGUAUUUAACUGUCAGAGGUGAAAUUCUUAGAUUUGUUAAAGACGAACUACUGCGAAAGCAUUUGCCAAGGAUGUUUUCAUUAAUCAAGAAC
rnacentral:rRNA from 1 species